GACUCCAUCCCCGCCCCCAUUCAAGGGGCGCGGUGGGGUGGGGACAGGUCUCUCUACCUGGGCAGUCCGGUAGUCGGCGCCACAGGGGAAUGGGCAGGGGCGGCGGGGCCUGGGCUCAGCAGCUCCAGCCAAGGGCCACAUCCAGCAGGAAGCUGCAAGAACUCCGAGGACUCAGGUGGACAGCAGGGCGGGUAAUCGCGGAACUUGUGCGGCUUGGCCGGCUGCGGACGAGAAAGAGCGCGCCGGCUGAGCUCGGGCGCCCUCUGGUGGCAAAGUCUCCCACACUCUCUGCUUCCCACCCCUGCUUCACCCUGGCACCUCCCACGCCCCCAUUCCUCCCUCCCCCCUCCCGUCCCCGAGGUCCCGGUGGACCAAGGCUCAGGCUCUUCCCUGAUCCCUGCGCAGCGAGGUGAAACUAAAGUGUUCUGUGGAAAAUCGAGAAGGCUGGAGUUGGCACGUCUUGGAGCCUGGAACUCAGAGCCUGCGGGGAGCUGCGGGGAGCCUUCCUGCUAAAGGGAAUUACAGUUUCUCGCUUGCUGCUU